AGCAAUCCUGUCACUUAAGGUGAUUUAUGUCAUGCAUAUCACGCAUAUAUCCUUCAUGAUAGUUUCCUAACAUGCUUCGUUGUCAUUCUUGAUAGGAAAUGUCAAUACCUGAAGAACAAAAACAUGUGAAGGGUAAAUUGUAUCGAUUUCAAUUGCUCAUUUUGAUACCGUUUCUGAAGUGAUUCUCUUUUCGUUUGAUUGAGAAAAGAUCAAACACUCAUAAGAGGUGUGGUACUAUUCUGAUUAGUGGUUCUUUUAAUGGUUACUGAUGAUUAGAACACAAGCUCGUAGGAUUUUUUUGUAGGAAAUUACAAUGAUAGUAGGUGUUCCAAUUGAAAAGGCUAGCACAAAUCGAGAGAGGGAAACAAAUUCGUCGUAUUUGAGCUGUUCGCAAGAGUCUUGACUGUAUAAAAUGCCGGCUUUUGGAAGGUAUAAAUGUUUAAGAGGUCAGGGCAGUGGUACUAGACAUGCAAGCUGGUUGUUAGAUUUGCUGGGUAAGGGUAUUGAGUCUGCUUUGGUGUAUCCUUCAGCAUUAGUAGCUGAGCCAUGGCAGUUAUCUAGUGAAAUGUUCUCUGGAAUUGAUCCUGAAGCUCGGGCUGCUGAAGUGGCACUUAUCCCAAGUAUACAGGUACCUUCACCUUCAUUUUGAAUUUUCUCCUUGUUGUCACAUUGAAAUUUGAAAUGCAGAUCUUCUGGCUGUGUUUUUGCCAUGGCUUGAGGCCAUUAUUUUGAUGGCCAUCUUCAUGUCCGGUUUCUAAACUGAAAUUCUCUUAUGGGCACUGUGAUGGUGAAAUUUAUUUACAAAAGGUGUAGGACAGAUAAGCUUUUUAAGUACAGAAACGUAGCUUUUGCUGAAAUAAUGGUUGCCCAGAUAUCUUUUGGCUUUCAAAUGAUGCUAUGUAAAUAUGUCAAGAUCGUCAAUUGAUGCGUGAAUUAAAUGACUGACAUAUUCUUGCA